AUAAACCUCAGCUCCUCUAAUUUGCUGGUGUUGGUUACUGCGUCCAGCAAUGGGAAAACUGACUAAUACACCAUUGUUUGUUUCCUUUCAGCUCUUGUGGACCUCUGAUGGAGAAACUGUCUACUCCAACUCUCUGUGACUACAUCUAGUCCACGUGUUGUGGGCCCACUAUGUUCUGGAAGGGGAGCUGCAAUUAAGGCUGAGCAAGAAGCAGGAAGUGGGAGGCAGUCCUGCUUUGACCUUCUGCCACGUUAGACCACCGCCAUAAUUUCUACUAAAGCAAGAACCUUUCACCUUUACCUGGAGGAAAGACACAGGACUGCCCUAUAAAAUCUCAGACAGCCCUCGCCAAGGACCCCAAUUAUUCUCACUGGGUCAAACCCCUGUGUCUAGUCGCAGUUCCCUGUGACAGUCUACUCUUCAUAAAACCUAAGCACAAUUACACAGGGCCAGGCAUGGUAGCCCACACCUCUAAUCUCAGCAUCUUGGGAGGCUGAGACAGGAGGAUCAUAAGUGUGAGCUCACCCUGGGUACGUAAGCAACUCAGCAAAAUUCUUUCUCGAAAUGAAAAAUAAGGGCUGAACUUGCAGGUCAUCAUGGAGGCCCGGGUUCUAUCUCCAGGACAGCAAAACAAACAACAACAAAACCACAGGUUUCUCACUUCUUCUGGGUCUUCAUUUCGAAGCCAUCAACCCAGUGGUGGCCAUGAAAAGAUACUUCAUCUUCUACAACGUCGUGGCAAAUAGCAACCCUUUCCAGCUUUCUGAUCUCGGGCUCCUUCCUGCUACAGAAUUAGGCCCACUGAUGGCUGUAAAGCGCCCUCCCACCUGGCCCAGGGAACCUGUGUGUAAGGCAGCUGUUGGUGGAGGAUGCCCUGUCUCCAUCCUCUAGAAACUUGCUAGAAAUGCAAAUUACUGGGGCCCACUUUAGACUCAUUUUAUCAGAAACUCUGAGGGGGCGGAGCCCACAAAUCUUGUUUUAACGAACCCUCCAGGAGAUUCUGGCGAAUGCUUAAGUCUGAUAACUACACACGCGGUAAACUUUAAUAAAAAGAAUGCAGCAACCUAAAACGAGCUUUCUUUUCUUAGCUUGUUUGCUGCAGCUUCUCGAAGUCGCCGGCAGAGGGCGAUGGUGGACCUGCCUUCGCCUUGCGGAACCGCAGAGCUCAAACACUGUAGAGGGUACUCCGCAGUCUCAAGCUUGGUCGGCUGCAAAAGUGAAUUACAAAUACGGAUAGAAAAGGGACUUCAGAACGCUGCGGUAGCACCCUGGCGGUUAAAGAGAAGGCAACAUUCGGAGUCGCAGCUGCAGCGGCGGCUGCAUCAGCAUCGUCUCUUGCAAAGGCAUUCAGAGCUGAAGCGUCCCUUUGCAGCAUUUCUCGGAGCCCUUUGCCUUUGAUGUACUCGAGCCUUCCGAUUUCCUUUGUUCUUUUUUUCCCCACACGUCAGGCUUUAGCGCUGACAAGCUUCCGCGUUAAAGGCGUGGGACCUCCGGGCUGCGCCAGCUGGAGGUGUUGCUCGCUUCUCGGCCCUGGGCGAGCAGGGAAAGCCCCUCCUCCCCAACUUCCUCUUGGGGUCCCGACCACCUUUUGAUCUCUCGGGUUGCAUUUGCGCCCCGCCUCUUUCUCGGGUGUCCCGCUGGUUCCCCUGGGGGAUCCUCGCCCUGCAACCGCUCCUGGUCUCGGCUUCUGCACCGAGGGCUCCCUGCAGGUGCGGCCGGCGCUUGACCCCGGCUGCACUACGCGGGGGCGGGGCUCGGAGGAGCAGCCCUGCAGGCGGGCCCUUCUUCCCGUCCAGGCCCUGCACCCCGGUCCUCUCCCCCGCCACACCCACGGCAGGAAGCCCGGCUGGGGAGGGGCCCGCAGGAUGACUUGGAAUUUUUGCCUUUGUUUUAGCCACCCUGAAGGAGAGGUUAGCCACCUGUAUGAUGGGCAGCAGUAUGUGGAAGAAAUUUGCGAGACCAUGAAGAGCUGGUGGAUCGCCCAAGCAAAUGCACACAACAAAUUCAUUGUCUUUGCAGUCCUGGCUUUUCAUCUCUGUGCUCUGUUCCAUCAUUUGCCAUGCAAGUCACAUAGAAGUAAGAAUGAUAGCAGCUAGGCUGGAGGAACAGAGACCCUGGCAAUUUGGAUGCAAUCUCAUCUGAAUUUUUGGAUUUGGGAAGGCAGAAUUGCUUCUCCCCACAUCGUUUUUUUAAAUUGCUGCUCAGCUUCUUGUGCUUAAUGAAGCUUUUCAGAAAGGGAAACUAGCAAACAGCAAAGCCUGCAUUCUGCCCUUUAACCAAUUGUUUUCUGCAUUGUUUAUCAGAACACUACUGCAUCGUGAAGUAAUGGCACUGGGGAUCAAACCAAGGGUCUUCACACAUGCUGGAUGAGAGCUCUACUCAGAUCCUCAACUGAAGAAAUGCUGUGAUCUCUUUGAAAGAUUUCUAUUUACUGAAAAGAAAGCUGAGAAUGGCCACCAAGGAGACACCAAUGAUCAUUUAAGAACAGAAGGUAUACUUUUUAAAUUCUGUCCAGCAUAAGGAUAGCAUGUUCCAAGACUCUAGAUUGAACCCAAGACUCCCACAGAUGGCCCAUCAGUCUGUUUUUUAACUUCUACCAGUGAAAAACCUGAAACUAGGUAUUUAAAAAAGAAAACAGGUUCAUUUUGCUCACCAUUUUGAAGCUGGAAAGCCAGACGCAUGGCUCUGAUAAGUACCCUUGGCUGUAUCACCUUGUAUGGAUGGCGUCACGAUGUCUGGAAGGGGAGGAGCACAUGGGAGAAGAAAGAAAAGAUCCUGCAGAAAUUGGCUUGGAUCCUGAUUUGACCUGUAACCAGUGGAGCUGAAGCUCCUGCAAACUCCAGGUGAUUGACAACACACGAAGAAAUUAACUAUUUUCAGUAUCUCUACUCUGCAAUUACCUUAAAAUUUGAAAAUGGAUAAUUUGUUCCUAGUUCUUUAGUGAAUAUCAAAAAACUUCAACUUUUGAGUAGGCUGAGCCCAGCUGUGUUAUUCUGAACCUUUCUGCUGUUUCAUUUAACCUUCCAAAUUCCACAUGGCUUAGCCCAAAUAAGUAUAAAGUAUUUUUCACAGUGUUACUAAAGAUCUGCAUUUUAAAUGGGGCUUUUAUUUUUAAAAUCAAUCAACUAGUUUUAAUCUGUUGGUUUGUUUUUUGAGCUUCUAGGGAUUGAACCCAGGGUCUUUCCACUGAAUUAUCUCCUUAGCUCUUUUUUAUUUUGAAACAGGGUCUCACUAAGUUCUUAAAUUGCGCAGUCUAGGCUUAAAUUUUUUCUCCUUUUACCAUAGCUAUCCAGAGUGCUGGGAUUACAGUAGUGAGCUGCCAUGUCUGGCUAAUCUAACAAAAUUUUGAAAGCUGUGCAUUAAAUUAUUGUUGGAAUUCCACUGGUGUUUAUCUCAGAUGGAUUUGAGUCCAUGUGUAUUUGGUCUACAAAGUACAACAAAUUUUUAUUUGAACUCAACUUAACUGAGCCCCAGUGUUAUACACCAUGAGUUUAUGACCCAAAAUAUCCACAAAUACAUCUUUGAGACAGAAAAUGCCAGGAUCAUCAGAAGUCACAGCCAUACUUUUCAUAGAUGGCUUGAAUUCAGGAAAAUAUGACACAUGCAAAGUCCUGUUUCCCACUUAGUUUCUGCAACCCAUAAUGACUGGUAGAGAAGUUUUACGGAGUGUGUGUGUGGGAGGUGGGGAGAGGAUGAUCUUCACAGUUUGAAUUGUACCACACUUAAGGCAAUUUUAUAAAAAGUUAACUAUUAAAUAAGGGUUAUCAAUUAAAAGCAGCCAUGAAGUGAGGAUAUUUUCUUUAGUGAUUUUUUUUUUAAAGCAGUUUGGUGUUAGAGGGAGUCUCACUAUAUUGUAUAACACAUGUUAGAAGCAUUUAGCAUCGAUUAACAACUGACAGCAACGUUGUGUGCAGAAAGCUUGAAAUCCCUAAGCAAAGAAUGGUACAAUUCAUUUGGAAGAAAAUGCGUCACUACUGUGAUAUUGAUUACUAAUUUCCAAGUUCCAAUUUUUAACAUAUGGACACCUAUCAGCGCAAGUCCUUAAUUUCCUGGUUGCUUAAUGUAGCACCAAUAAUUUCAAACCUAAAAUAAAGAAGUUCUUGUGGUUUUUAUCUUAAAUAAAGUAUUUGAGUACAAAUUA